rnacentral:lncRNA from 1 species
AGACUUAAAUGGGCUACAUGUUUUAGUUAUUGUUGAAACCCAAGCCCAAACCAACUUAAAACAAAAAGUCCAAAAUGGCAAACCCUAAUUAGAGAGAGGCAACAAAGAAACUAGAGAACCCUAGUUUGAUUGAGGAGGCGGCCAACAUGAAAAGAGGCGGCUAGACAGAAACACGAAUGGAAAGAAAAACCAGGAUGCGAAAACGAAAGAGAAAUGAAGGAACUGCGAUGGUGAGGAAGGUGACAGCUACCUCGGCGACAGUGAGGAAGGUGACGACAACCUCAGCGACGGUGGCAGCGCCGACAACGACAAUGGCGACAGUGACAUCAACGAUGGCAAAAAAGACAUCAUCACAGGUUUGUAUUUUAAUCGUUUUACGUUUCUUUAAAAAAAACCUACAUUUUUAAAAAGUGAUUGUUUGAUGAUGAUAAAGAGCAAGAAGGAAAGAUACCUUAAUGUUUCGUUUUUGUUGUUUAUUACUGCAACUCUCUGAUUUCUUCCCCUUCCCCUUCUCUGUAUGUGUUUUUUUUAUAUAUCAGUAGUGUUAGUCUCCGAUUCUUUCCCCUCUUUGAAAUUUUAUAGGGUAUAUUUAUAGAGUUUUUUAUGUGUUUAGUUGUUUUCUGGUCUGCCUUGGUCCUUCUCUAUCUAUUUCAUGUUUGAUGUUUUGAUUGCUUUGCUCAUCAUCUGUAUUUUCUUGCACCACUGAUGCCUUCAUAAAUUUAGAUUAUUUGUUUUGAUUUGUUGAUUUGCUGAGCAUAUUCAUUUGUCUUUUAGUUUCUUUUUUUAAACUCAAAAAUUUGUCAUUUAGUUUUUAUCAUGUAUACUGAGUCUGACUGGUAAAAAAAAAAUGGUUUUCAGAUUCUCUAAUUAGUUACAGCAAAGGUCAAUGACACUGCAUCUGAAACAGAAAUGCAGCAACAGAGCCAAACACUGCAUCAGAAACAAAGAGGCAACAACAACAACAAAACAGAGCCAAAUGCUUCAUUUGAAAAAGUUUGACCUAAUUUUUAUUGUAAUUUAAUUUGGUUUUAUUUUUUGUUGCAAUUUGAAAUUGUAAUUUGAUUUAAAUUUAGAAUUGUAAUUGUAAAUUGAUUUGGUAUUAAAAAAAUUAUGAGCC